rnacentral:sRNA from 1 species
UUUGCUUCUCUGCCGAUCUUUAUCUUAGUGCCUCAAACAGUAACGACUGAAGUUUGUCUAUAAUAGUAGUGCCUACGGGCAAGUUAAACAAUGCAAAGGAAAUACUCAAGAUGUCUACUAAGAUAAAAGGUCAAGUUAAGUGGUUCAAUGAGGCUAAAGGUUUUGGUUUUAUUACGCCGUUGGACGGUGGUAAAGAUGUGUUUGUACACUUUUCUGCCAUUCAGUCAACCGGGUUUAAAACCUUAGCGGAAGGCCAAAACGUAGAAUUUGAAAUUACUGAUAGGGUGAAAGGACCAUCGGCAGCUAAUGUUAGUUCCAUUUAACCGAUCAACGCUUGAUAUAAAACCCGUCUUGCGACGGGUUUUUUU